ACAGCUCCAAGCCCACUAUGGUUGGGGAUUUCCUGCGUGGAUGAAAAUAAAAGGGGUGAGUUUGGGGAAACUCAGUGUGUAAGGAAAACCCAUUCGAAGCCCAAGUCAGCUCAAGCCUAUUGGGCCUAAGCCCAUUCAGGUAACAGUGGUACUGGGCCAGAGCCCUUUUCAGAUUACAAUAAACUGGGCCUUAGCCCCUUAUUCAGAUAACAGUAUGGCCCAUAGGCCCAUUUCAAAAUACAUGCAACAUCAGUAAACAUAUGCAAGCCCAUUUGGGGAGACUACUCAACCCACCAGCCACUACACUCCACCCGUACCAGCCAUACACUCCAUGUGGGGAAUAGCUCAACCCACCCAGCCCAACACUCCACAAUUGCAGCCUUGCUGCUCAGUUAACAGUAAAUUGAGGCAAAGCCUCCAGUACGUGGACAAGCCACUUUCAGUACUUCCUCCGUCAAUAUCCCAGUCCCAUGCAUCAGAUAAUAACAUGACUUGCAGUAAAUAACAACAGUCAAACAUGCAUUUAGGUCAAUUUAACCCUAGGGGUAUUUCGGUAAUUUAUCUCCUAGGGGUAAAACUGUAAAUUUUCCACUUUUAAAGGUAUUUCAGUAAUUUAUCUAUUUUAGGGUUUUUCAUGCAUAUUCCUACCUUUCACGUACUGCAGAAUCACGUACCGAGGGUUCUUACCGAAUUUGGCCCGUUAGCCCAUCAUUCCAAUUUUGGCCCAUUAAGCCCAAAAAUAUCGAGGGCACAGAAAUCAUGCACUUUGCAGUCCAAACAUUGCAGCUUACCAAAAACAUUAAUCGAUUUACCUCACGAGCAUUCGCACAUUCGCAAAUCUACAAAAUACCGGUUUUCGACAUUUCGGCUUUUCAGCUUUCACCGAUCUAGA
rnacentral:lncRNA from 1 species